AUAUGAAUUCCAAGGCAUUGGGUGAUAUAACCCUGCUGUUCUGUCACCUAUUUUUCUGUCACUUCACUUAAUAGCACAGAGCAUCAUGUGGACUGCGUGGGAUUAUAGCACUUGGUGAAAGGGGCUUUCUCAGAAGUCCUGGGAAGUUAGUUGUGACUUAUCGGAUGACAGCACAACUUCAUGCCACAGAAAGAAGAGGAUGCCCUUUAAAGGACAAAAAAGUGGACCAACAUCUGCAUGGUCUUCUCCAGGUAGGAGAGAGCAGAUGGUUUAAGCCUUUGCCAGGAGGCCUCAUUCACACGCUGGAUUUUAAGGCAUCGUGGUGCUUGUGAGGUGCUUGGUGAGUCUCAGUCAAAUGCUUCUUUGUAAGGCGUGGUAUGAAGGGGUCACUUAGAAGGUGAGCAAGACAUUAAAUGCUCCAUUUCCUCACUGUGAGGUAACACUCUGCAGUCAAACCAGGUGAGCUGAAAUAACUGGAUAUGCUUCUCCACAGAGCUAAUGCAUUUUUAUCAAACACUUCCUCAACAAUUCUUAUUCCCUUUCUGGAGCUUUCAUUGCUGCUGCCAAUUAUAGGAGAAUUGAGACAGUCAAAACACCUCCAAAAAAGAAAAUGGCAAAAAGAAAUUUUAUGUUGUCUACAAAAGAGAUACUAUAUUUUGUUAUUUUUGAUCCACCAUCUGGGCUUCCAUGAAGUAGAGAUUUGAAGCUUAGUAUAAUAAAGAAAUAACAUAGAUGAUGGGGUUUUGGUU
rnacentral:lncRNA from 1 species